GACGAACGCUGGCGGCGUGCUUAACACAUGCAAGUCGAACGGAAAGGCCCUGCUUUUGUGGGGUGCUCGAGUGGCGAACGGGUGAGUAACACGUGAGUAACCUGCCCUUGACUUUGGGAUAACGUCAGGAAACUGGGGCUAAUACCGGAUAGGAGCUCCUGCUGCAUGGUGGGGGGUGGAAAGUUUCGGCGGUUGGGGAUGGACUCGCGGCUUAUCAGCUUGUUGGUGGGGUAGUGGCUUACCAAGGCUUUGACGGGUAGCCGGCCUGAGAGGGUGACCGGCCACAUUGGGACUGGGCUACGGCCCAGACUCCUACGGGAGGCAGCAGUGGGGAAUAUUGCACAAUGGGCGGAAGCCUGCUGCAGCAACGCCGCGUGCUGGAUGACGGCCUUCGGGUUGUAACCCGCUUUCGCCUGUGACGAAGCGUGAGUGACGGUAAUGGGUAAAGAAGCACCGGCUAACUACGUG
rnacentral:rRNA from 1 species